CCGAAUCAACAGCGCAUCCGCUGGUUACAUUAAAGUACUUGUCAUGUCUUUGGGUCAAAUACAUUAAUAAUUCAUAAGUUGCAUAAGUUAGUUAAAAUGAAAGUAAUAAAUAGCUAAAAGUUCUAAUAAAUAUUGUUAAAAACGCUAAGGCUAAAAAGUUUUACAGAGUGAGACAUCUUCGCUAGAAAGUAUCGUUAUAGGCCACGAGAGAGUGCUCUCGCUUAUAGACAAGCUUUGUCGUUUUUCUCUGAGUGAAAAGCAGGCUGGCUUCAUGGCAGAAACGAAACGGAAACCUCAUAAACAUGCGGAAAGUUGCUCUAAACGCUUGUUACUUGGAAAAUUAUCAUCUUUAAACAAGCAUGGUGGAGGACAAACACUGAUAGCUUCAACAGGACGUUGACAACAAGCUGAAUCAGCUCCUCAUCAAAAAGCCCAAAAUGAUCCAUUAUACUGACAAGGUCAAAUCUGAAUCUGCUGGAUGCAAAGUCACAGGCUAACAAGUCAUCUCGAAGUACAACACACACACGUCAACAUGACUGACAGCCAUCAAAGUGAAGCGGAGCAAUGAGAAGACAGAUGAGCGCCACUUGAGAAAACGACAAGAUUUACGGUAAUGGAGAGAAGAGCAGGAUUGUCAAUCAACACAAGUGAUGACGACUCUCUGCGGGUUGAGAUAUAUAUUUUUUUUGUUUAUUUUGAACAAGUCAUGCACACCUUUAUUUCGUCAUGUUUCAACUACAUUAUAAAAUAUAUUAUAUCAACUAUAUUAUAAUUCAUAAUGCCACCUACAGAGAACAUACUAACUCCUUAUUUCUAAAAUCACAAAUACUUAAACUUGCUGAUAUAGUUCAUCUUCAAACAGCUAAAAUAAUGCAUAAGGCUAAAAAUAACCAAUUACCUAAAAAUGUCAUCAAUACUUCUCUACAAGAGAGGAGAAAUAUGAUCUCAGGGAAGAACUACAUUUGAAACACUUAUAUGCUAGGACUACGUUAAAAAGCCAUAGCAUUUCAGUAUGUGGAAUCAAACAAUGCACAACGAUGAGCCAAUUCAAGAAACAAUCCAAGCAGUUGAUGUUUGCUAAAUACAAGGAUGAAGAGUCUUGAACCAGUCAUGAUGUGCUAUACAUAUCACUAUAUUGACACUUACUAUGGUAACCAUUAUGUCAUUGUAUGGUCAUAUCACCAUGUACUUUGGUACAAGGUG